rnacentral:rRNA from 1 species
UACGUAGGGUGCAAGCGUUAUCCGGAAUUAUUGGGCGUAAAGAGCUCGUAGGCGGUUCGGCAAGUCAGCUGUGAAAUCUCCACGCUCAACGUGGAGGGGUCAGCUGAUACUGCUGUGACUUGAGUCCGGUAGGGGAGUGUGGAAUUCCACGUGUAGCGGUGAAAUGCGUAGAGAUGUGGAGGAACACCAGUGGCGAAGGCGGCUUUCUGGUCUGUAACUGACGCUGAGGCGCGAAAGCGUGGGGAGCAAACAGG